rnacentral:tRNA from 1 species
GUGGGUAUAGCUCAAUGGUAGAGCACAUGCUUAACAUGCAUGAGGUCAUGGGUUCAAUCCCCAGUAUCUCCA